rnacentral:rRNA from 1 species
GCGCACCAGGCGCGAAACCUCCGCAAUACACGAAAGUGUGACGGGGCCAUCCCGAGUGCCGUCCGCUGAGGACGGCUUUUCCCCAGUGUACGCAGCUGGGGGAAUAAGGAGAGGGCAAGCCUGGUGUCAGCCGCCGCGGCAAUACCAGCUCUCCGAGUGGUGGGGACGCUUAUUGGGCCUAAAGCAUCCGUAGCCGGCUGGGCAAGUCCUCCGUUAAAUCCAACGAUUCAAUCGUUGGGCUGCGGGGGAUACUGUCCAGCUUGGGGGCGGGAGAGGCCGACGGUAUUCCCGGGGUAGGGGUGAAAUCCUAUAAUCCCGGGAGGACCACCAGUGGCGAAGGCUGUCGGCUAGAACGCGCCCGACGGUGAGGGAUGAAA